rnacentral:rRNA from 1 species
UUAGGAAUAUUGGGCAAUGGAGGAAACUCUGACCCAGCAACGCCGCGUGAAGGAAGAAGGUUUUCGGAUUGUAAACUUCUGAUCUGUGGGACGAAGAAAGUGACGGUACCACAGGAGAAAGCCACGGCUAACUACGUGCCAGCAGCCGCGGUAAUACGUAGGUGGCGAGCGUUGUCCGGAAUAACUGGGCGUAAAGGGAGCGUAGGUGGUUAAUUAAGUUAAAUGUGAAAGCCCGUGGAUCAACUACGGAACUGCAUUUAAUACUGGUUAACUAGAGUACAGGAGGGGUAAACGGAAUUUCUAGUGUAGCGGUGAAAUGCGUAGAUAUUAGGAAGAACACCAGAGGCGAAGGCGGUUUACUGGACUGCAACUGACACUGAGGCUCGAAAGCGUGGGGAGCAAACAGG